UACGUAGGCAGCGAGCGUUGUUCGGAAUUACUGGGCGUAAAGAGUGUGUAGGCGGUGCUCUAAGUUCGGUGUGAAAUCUCCCGGCUUAACUGGGAGGUGCGCCGGAAACUGGAGUGCUCGAGCGUGGGAGAGGAAAGCGGAAGUUCCUGGUGUAGCGGUGAAAUGCGUAGAUAUCAGGAGGAACACCUGCGGUGUAGACGGCUUUCUGGACCAUUGCUGACGCUGAGGCAUGAAAGCGUGGGGAGCAAACAGG
rnacentral:rRNA from 1 species